rnacentral:lncRNA from 1 species
ACCGCCACGCCCAGCUAACUUUUUUGUAUUUCAGUAGACAUGGGCUUUCACCAUGUUGCCCAAGGUGGUUUCGAACUCCUGAGCUCAGGCAAUCUGCCCGUCUCAGCCUCCCAAAGUGCUGGGACUACAGGCGUGAGCCAUCACACCCGGCCUAGGGAAGCAUGUCUUUUUUUUUUUUUUUUUUUUUUUUUUUUUUUUUUUUUUUUUUUUUGAUACAGGGUCUCGCUCUGUCGCCCAGGCUGGAGUGCAGUGGCGCGAACUCGGCCCACUGCAAGCUCCGCCUCCGGGGUUCACGCCAUUUCCUGGCUCAGCCUCCCCAGUAGCUGGGACUACAGGCGCCCGCCACAACUCCCGGCUAAUUUUUUUUCUCUUUCUUUCUUUCUUUCUUUCUUUCUUUCUUACUUUCUUUCUUUCUUUCUUUCUUUUUAGUAGAUACGGGGUUUCACCGUGUUGGCCAGGAUGGUCUCGAUCUCCUGACCUCGUGAUCCGCCUGCCUCGGCCUCCCAAAGUGCUGGGAUUACAGGCGUGAGCCACCGCGCCCGGCGGUAAAUUCUUUUUAAAAAGCGUUUAUUCCGAUGGAUUUCCUGGCAUCCCGUGGGGCGGACAACGGGCUGAGGCCUCCAGUAAACCUUCUGCGCGAUGGAGCUGCGGGGGCUCAGCUGCGCUGUUUUUGGGUGGGUGCCUGGGGCACUAGGGCGGGAGCGGGGCACUGGGUGGGUCCAACGGGUAACUGCAAGGAGGAGAGCAAGGAAGUCGGCAGAGGCGGCGACCCUGGCGAGGAAACUUCCCAGUAGCUUUGUUCAGCGGUAAGGACCGGAUCCCUGAGAGACAAAAAUCAUCUUUUCUACUGUAGCAGAGUGGGGAGAACGCCAGGAAAAAUGGAGAGACACCAAGAAAGAAGGAAAAUCAUGGGGACCCUUAGGCCGAAGCAGCCCUAUAUUAAGUUUAAAGAAGAAAGCAGGCGGCUUCCUGUGAUGGUAUAUUGGUUAGUACUCUGCAUCGCGGCCAAGGGUGGAAUCCCAGUCAUGGCAGUGUCCCUCCUGGGGCGUGGCACUCCUCCUUUCCUUUAGACUCCAACCUCUGCCUAGGCUGCGCUUUUACCUGCGACUAGAGAGGUUACAACUUACCAGUGCCUUCGGAGCUCUGUGCAGUGGUGAGAAUAGAAGGAACCCCUACCUUGCAUGCUGGGGUCCAGUCAUCUUGAAAGGCUGGGCUUUUGCCCCCUCUCUGAGCAAGUGCAGCACCCAAAAGGUGAGGUGCUCCCUCUCAGUCAGCCUUAUUGGAAUCCUCCACUAUUACCACGAUGUGGCCAUAACCGUUUUUCUGGUUCAGAUAUUUCAAUCAUCCGUGGGGCCUUUUAAGGCCGAAUCAGAAACAAGCGAGAGGACAUGAGGAUAGUUUGCACUCCAACUGGGAAUUUUAAGUAAAGCCUAAAGAAUACAAUAAAAUCUAAACUUAAUGUCAUUCCCCAACACCCAAUUGUUAUUUGUUUUUAUUUAUUUAUUUGUUUAUGUAUUUUUGCUAUCAGUAAAUGACUGAAGUAUAAUCCACACAGACCAAAGUGUUCCAAUCUGAAGUGCACAGCCCAGUGCAUUUUGACGUAAGAAACCAUCACCCAGAUCAAGUUAUGGGACAUUUUCACCAGCCCAAAAAGUCAUCAGAGCCCCUUUCCAGUCAGUCCUCACCCCAUCCCCACUUAGGCAAUCACCAUUCUGAUUUCUAUCUCCAUGGGUUACUUUUGCUUCUUCUUGAAAUUCACGUAAAGGAAUAUACUGAUUCUGUUUCUUUUUUGAAUGCAACAAUGGUUUUGAGAUACAUUCAUUUUAUGGCAUGUAUCUCAACGUUUUGAUGUUAUUGAUGAA